GGAUAUGUGGGUGAUCUGGCUGUGACAUCUGUCACCACAUUGAUCACCAGGGUUGAUUUGGCUGAUGUGGCUGGAUAGGCAGGUGACCUCUUACUCCCUCACUACUCCAUGUGCAUGUCUCCCAAAGCUGUGCAAAUAGAGAAGGACCAGUCUUCGGUCAAGGGUAUACAAGUAGUUGCACUCCCCUGCUAGAACCUCCAAACAAGCUCUCAAGAAAUGGAAGAUCUCAACUAGUUGAUUAAGCUUAAUGACGACUUGAUUAAAUGCAAGAAUGA
rnacentral:snRNA from 1 species